rnacentral:rRNA from 1 species
GACGAACGCCGGCGGCGUGCUUAACACAUGCAAGUCGAGCGGUAAGGCCCUUUCGGGGGUACACGAGCGGCGAACGGGUGAGUAACACGUGGGUGACCUGCCCUUAGCUCUGGGAUAAGCCUGGGAAACUGGGUCUAAUACCGGAUAUGACUCCAUAACGCAUGUUGUGGGGUGGAAAGCCUUGUGCGGCUAGGGAUGGGCCCGCGGCCUAUCAGCUUGUUGGUGGGGUGAUGGCCUACCAAGGCGACGACGGGUAGCCGGCCUGAGAGGGCGACCGGCCACACUGGGACUGAGACACGGCCCAGACUCCUACGGGAGGCAGCAGUGGGGAAUCUUGCGCAAUGGGCGAAAGCCUGACGCAGCGACGCCGCGU